ensembl:lincRNA
AAGCCCCAGCAGGAUGUCUGAGCAUGUGCACAAUAGAAGCCCCACCCAGAAAAUCAGCCCUGGUGAUGGGCGUGGUUAUGGAAAUCAGUCCUGGUGAUGGGCGUGGUUAUGAAAAUCAGCCCUAGUGGUGGGCUUGGCUAUGAAAAUCAGCCCUGGUGAUGGGCGUGGCUAUGAGAAUCAGCCCUGGUGGUGGGCGUGGCUAUGAAAAUCAGCCCUGGUGGUGGGCGUGGUUAUGGACAUCAGCCCUAGUAGUGGGCGUGGCCAUGAAAAUCAACCCUGGUGGUGGGCGUGGCUAUGAAAUCAGCCCUGGUGGUGGGCGUGGCUAUGAAAAAUGAGUCCUGGUGGUGGGCGUGGCUAUGAAAAUCAGCCCUGGUGAUGGGCGCGGUUAUAAAAAUCAGCCCUGGUGGUGGGUGUGGCUAUGAAAAUCAGCCCUGGUGGUGGGUGUGGCUAUGAAAAUCAGCCCUAGUGACGGGCGUGGCUAUGAAAAUCAGCCCUAGUGACGGGCGUGGCUAUGAAAAUCAGCCCUAGUGACGGGCGUGGCUGCGCAGCGCAUCUGCACAACCCAUGCGUGUCGUCGCGGAGCGGGAAAGAACACGAGCAGCCCUUCUCAUCCGCCCCGUGAGAGCUCUAGUGCUCGACAGGAGAGAUCGGGGCCGGUGGCUCUAAAGGAAACAGAGUCGCAAGACAUUCGGGAUGGGAUUCCGUGUCUGGAGAGUGAGGAUGAUGUUCCAGAAGAAGACGACUUCACUAAUAUUUGAAUCAAUGUAGAUGGUUGUACCGUACUUUAAAGAAAAAACAACACAUCCCCUGAAAAUGAGCCCUGGGGUGUCUCUGGAGGAAAGAUAAAUAGAAGACCUUGUGCUGUUUUCGGGGAAACACUGUAGGCUUUUGUAAGGGGUCCGUCACGAGGAAAGAGAGCUCACAUGUAAGUGCACCUGUUUUUCCGGGACACAGGGCAGUUUGUCAUGGAGCACCACACCCUCCCCGACGCGAAGUCCUUCAUCCUGACCCCGGACCACCUGGGGGGCAUCCAGUUCGACCUGCAGCUUCUCUGGAGUGCUCAGACCUUCGACUCCCCGAAUCAGCUCUGGAGAGCCACGAGCUCUUACAACAGGAAGGACUACUCGGGCGAGUACAGCAUCUACCUGGUCCCCUGCACGGUGCAGCCCACGCAGCCCUGGGCCGACCCCGGAGAGAAGCCGCUGCCCUGCACCGCGCACACCGCCGAGAGAUUCCUGAUUCCCAUCGCGUUCCAGCAGACCAACCGCCCGGUGCCGGUGGUGUACUCGCUCAACACCGAGUUCCAGCUCUGCAACAACGAGAAGGUGUUUGUCAUGGACCCCAGCACCUCCGGCAUGUCCCUGGCGGAGAUGGAUUACAAGGGGGCCUUCUCCAAAGGGCAGACGCUGUACGGCCGCGUGCUGUGGAGCCCCGAGCAGAACCUGCACGCGGCGUACCGGCUGCGGCUGGAGCAGGUGUACCUGUGCACCGGCCGCGACGGCCACGUGCCCUUCUUCGACCCCACCGGCACCGUCUACAACGAGGGCCCGCAGUACGGCUGCAUCCAGCCCGCGCGGCACCUGCAGCACCGCUUCCUCCUGCUGGACCGCAGCCAGCCAGAGGUGACGGAUAAGUACUUCCAUGACGUGCCUUUCGAGGCUCACUUUGCCUCUGAGCUGCCCGACUUCCAGGCGGUCAGCAGCAUGCCGGGCGUGGACGGGUUCACGCUGAAGGUGGACGCGCUCUACAAGGUGGAGGCCGGGCACGAGUGGUACCUGCAAGUGAUCUAUGUCAUCGGGCCGGACAGCGUCCCGGGGCCCCGUGUCCAGCGCUCUCUCGGGGUCCCCCUGGGGCGGCGGCGGCCCCGGAGGGACCUGGACGACCCGCUGGUGUAUGACAACGAGGGCGACCGAGUCAGGAACGGCACCAACAUGAAGUCCCUGAGCCUGGAGGGGCCCGAGCCGGCGGCGGCCGCCACCUCCCUGGCCCAGGCGGGCGCGUCCCUCGGCGGGGCCCUGGCCGCGGCCAUGCUCCUGCUCCUGGUGGCCCUGGUGGCUUGUGUGGCCACCAGGCAGUGCCAGGAGAGGAGGAGGAGGAGGAGGAGGAAGAAACAGCCCCCCGAGGAGGAGGAGGAGGAGGAGGAUGCUCUGCAGGCCCAGGCUCUGCGCAGCUGCAAGGUGGCGGCCGCGGGCAGGUGCAGCCCGGGCCGCGUGGAGAGGGACAGGGACAGGGGCUGCCCCGCGUGGGACGCCGGCCUCGGCGCCAGAGUGAGGAGGCUGAGCCCGGAGGCCAGAGCCCACGAGGAUCUGCAGGACGGGACGGAAGUGUGAUGGGCAGGGCCCCCACCCCGUGCAGUUUUGCUCUGCUCUGUUUUUCCCAGAGUCUCGGUGUUUUUUUUAUAUAAAGCUGGGGCCGGGUGGGGAGGGAGGGGGGAAAGGGGAAAUUGCUGGUAUUUUUGUAUCGGUCUUGCAGAGGGGAAAGAGGAAAAGAGAAAUAGAAAGGGAAGGGGACAGUCGAGGACGGCGGGCGCCACACCCGUAGGCUGGCAGGUGAGCUGCCUGGAGGAGCAGAGAACCACUUUCUGUAGGAUUAUUUCUGUAGGAUUAUUUCUGUAGGAUUCUUUUCUGUAGGAUUAUUUCUGUAGGAUUAUUUCUGUAGGAUUAUUUCUGUAGGAUUAUUUUCUGUAGGAUUAUUUCUGUAGGAUUAUUUUCUGUAGGAUUAUUUUCUGUAGGGUUAUUUCUGUAGGAUUAUUUCUGUAGGGUUAUUUCUGUAGGAUUAUUUCUGUAGGAUUAUUUCUGUAGGAUUAUUUCUGUAGGAUUAUUUUCUGUAGGGUUAUUUCUGUAGGGUUAUUUUCUAUAGGGUUAUUUCUGUAGGGUUAUUUCUGUAGGAUUAUUUCUGUAGGAUUAUUUCUGUAGGAUUAUUUCUGUAGGAUUAUUUUCUCUAGGAUUAUUUUCUCUAGGGUUAUUUCUGUAGGGUUGUUUCUGUAGGAUAAUUUUCUGUAGGAUAAUUUUCUGUAGGAUUAUUUUCUGUAGGAUUAUUUUCUGUAGGGUUAUUUCUGUAGGGUUAUUUUCUGUAGGAUUAUUUCUGUAGGGUUAUUUUCUGUAGGAUUAUUUUCUGUAGGGUUAUUUUCUGUAGGAUUAUUUCUGUAGGGUUAUUUUCUGUAGGGUUAUUUUCUGUAGGAUUAUUUCUGUAGGGUUAUUUU